rnacentral:rRNA from 1 species
AACGGGGAGGGCUAGUGUUUUUUAUCUUGACUGGGUGUAAAACAUAUGUAGAUGGUUAAAAAAGUUUUAACUUAAAUAGUUUAUUAAAUUAUAAUAAACACAAUUAUUAUACUUUUUAACUAGAGUUAUAUAGGAAAUUAUAGAAUUUUAAGUGUAGGAGUGAAAUCUGUUAAAAUUUAAAGAGCUAUCAUGGGUGAAAACAAUAAUUUAUAUAUAACUGACAUUGAGAUAUAAAAGCGUGGGGAGCAAACGGG